rnacentral:rRNA from 1 species
UACGAAGGGGGCUAGCGUUGUUCGGAAUCACUGGGCGUAAAGGGCGCGUAGGCGGCUUGAUAAGUCGGGGGGUGAAAGCCUGUGGCUCAACCACAGAAUUGCCUUCGAUACUGGCGAUCUCGAGUCCGGAAGAGGUGAGUGGAACUCCUAGUGUAGAGGUGGAAUUCGUAGAUAUUAGGAAGAACACCAGUGGCGAAGGCGGCUCACUGGUCCGGUACUGACGCUGAGGUGCGAAAGCG